rnacentral:rRNA from 2 species
UCCUGCCAGUAGUCAUAUGCUUGUCUCAAAGAUUAAGCCAUGCAUGUCUAAGUACAGGCCGAAACAAGGUGAAACCGCGAAUGGCUCAUUAAAUCAGUUAUGGUUCAUUGGAUCUUACCUUGUUUUACUUGGAUAACUGUGGUAAUUCUAGAGCUAAUACAUGAUAGCCAGCUCCGACCGCAAGGAAAGAGCGCUUUUAUUAGAUCAAAACCAAUCGGGCUUCGGUCCGUUCUCAAUGUGGUGACUCUGAAUAACUUUGAGCUGAGUGCACGGUCUUCGAACCGGCGCCAUAUCCUUCAAGUGUCUGCCUUAUCAGCUUUCGAUUGUAGGUUAUGCGCCUACAAUGGCUAUAACGGGUAACGGGGAAUCAGGGUUCGAUUCCGGAGAGGGAGCCUGAGAAACGGCUACCACAUCUAAGGAAGGCAGCAGGCACGCAAAUUACCCACUCCCAGCUCGGGGAGGUAGUGACGAAAAAUAACGAUGCGGGACUCUUCCGAGGCCUCGCAAUCGGAAUGAGUACACUUUAAAUCCUUUAACGAGGAUCUAUUGGAGGGCAAGUCUGGUGCCAGCAGCCGCGGUAAUUCCAGCUCCAAUAGCGUAUAUUAAAGUUGCUGCGGUUAAAAAGCUCGUAGUUGGAUCUCAGUUCCGGACCGACGGUUCACCGCCCGGUGCUUACUGUCGGCUUCCGAACAGCCGCACGCCGGCUCGGCCAGGGUGCUCUUCAUCGAGUGUCCUGGUUUCGGCCGGCACGUUUACUUUGAAAAAAUUAGAGUGCUCAGCGCAGGCUGCAACGCCUGAAUAAUCUGUGCAUGGAAUAAUGGAAUAGGACCUCGGUUCUAUUUUGUUGGUUUUCGGAACCCGAGGUAAUGAUUAAUAGGAACUGUCGGGGGCAUUCGUAUUGCGACGUUAGAGGUGAAAUUCUUGGAUCGUCGCAAGACGGACUACUGCGAAAGCAUUUGCCAAGAAUGUUUUCAUUAAUCAAGAACGAAAGUUAGAGGUUCGAAGGCGAUCAGAUACCGCCCUAGUUCUAACCAUAAACGAUGCCAACCAGCGAUCCGCCGGCGUUAUUCCCAUGACUCGGCGGGCAGCUUCCGGGAAACCAAAGUCUUUGGGUUCCGGGGGAAGUAUGGUUGCAAAGCUGAAACUUAAAGGAAUUGACGGAAGGGCACCACCAGGAGUGGAGCCUGCGGCUUAAUUUGACUCAACACGGGGAACCUCACCAGGCCCGGACACCGGAAGGAUUGACAGAUUGAGAGCUCUUUCUCGAUUCGGUGGGUGGUGGUGCAUGGCCGUUCUUAGUUGGUGGAGCGAUUUGUC